AAUAAAAAGUCUAAAAAAGUUCUAAAUAUAACGAUAUUUAAAACCUUGAACUAUCCGAACUGCUCUUAGUACUCUGAUGAAGGUUGCAGUUAGCAACCGAAAAUUUAGAACUUUUUUAGACAUUUUUAUUGUACAUAUUCUAGUAUUUUAAAAAGAAUUUUAGACCAGCUUCAACUCUAAAACUAUCAUGUAUUCCACUGGUCGCCCCAACAGCAUAUCUCUGUGAAGGUCGCGGGUUCGAUUGGCCAAGUAGAAUUUUCUACUUGCCCCGCGUCGACAAUAGACCCAUUGCACAUGACGUCACAACGCCAGUGAUGCAUGAUGCAUCUGGAGGACAAAUCAGCAAUCUGUGCAUGAUAUAACUUUUGUAAACAAACCAAACUUUAUAAAAGUUUAUAAUAAUUUUGUAUUAAAAGGUUAAUUUUUGCGUGAAUGUGGUUGUUGUACCCGAACAGAUAGGUAGCAUCUGGAGGGCACUCUAAGGAUUUGUGACGUUAGUGCAAUGGGUCUAUUCUGUCAAAUCACGAUUAUUGCAGUAUUGUUUGGUCGAAAAGUCAUACGACUAUUACUAUUAGUGUUACCGGCUGCAGCCUAUGAUCAAUCAG